rnacentral:tRNA from 1 species
GACUGGAUAGUCUAGCAGUAAAGGAAUCACAUUGACAAUGCUAAGGUCCCAGGUUUAAAUCCUGGUCUAGUCA